GCACUUUAUUGUUAGGUAAAAGACAAAAGAGAAGUCCGAGUCUAAACUUUAAACAAAGUACAACCAGAGACGAAACGGUUUGCGGAGAGUCAGUACUUGAUACGUGUCAUUUCCUGAUUCGGUGCGAUCAUAUCGAAGUGGGAGUCUUGGCAAAUCAAAUCCACCUCUGUGUUUGUUUUCUAAUUCUGAUUUGGAAUCGACUCAAGAUCUGAUUCAUAGAAGCCGAAUUUUUCCUUUUAUCAAGAUGGGUCGGUGUGCAGCAUUUUGGAGUGCUUUAUCCAGGCUAAUUUGUUUCUCGAUUGAUAGUGGAGCUAAAGGAAAUAUGGGUAACACAAGCAGUGACUCAAAACCAAGUAGUCAGUCUGAUGCAAAAGAGCUUAAUGCGCCCUCUGAACAAAAAGUUAUAACAAUGAAAGAUUACAUUCUACAGAAAGCUAAGCCAUUUACCAACGAUUGGCCUAUGUACAAUGAUCCCACCAUCUGGGGCGUACUAACUGCUAUCACCGAAAGUGCAAUUAAUGGCAGAAAAUACCAGGGAUGCCAGGGACACUGUAUUAUCUUGAAGAUGGCUGAGCAUUGCAUUGGCCUAGUAUUGAAGGAAAUGUUCAAAUUUCCAUAGGAGAUGGUCAACGAAGACUAUGGAAUAUAUCUUAGCAGAGUUGAUGGUGAAGAAGCAAAGCAUCUCGGGAGCUAUUAUCCACCUGUCUUCUUGUGCGACACUAGCGCUUGUGACACAUAUGUCUAUUGGCAAAAGUUGACCAAAGGAGAACCUGUUCGAAUUUAUCACGGAGAUAUCAUAUCUUUUUUUUAAAGCUCCUGAUCAUGUUGAUGCAGUUGGAUAUGUAUAUCAAAUAGCAAGUAGGUCCGGUCCUUGGCAAGAAGGUCCCGUAGCAACAAGCCAUGACCAAUUUGAAACAUUGCUUAAGGAAUUUGCGGAGAUGAAGAAAUUGUUGUGUGUAAAAGAGCGUGCAGAGCUCAAGACUGAACUUAGGACCGAACUCAAGGCUGAACUAAGGACUGAAAUCAAGGAUGAAAUCAUGGUUGAACUCUCAAGCACAAACUCAGGUUAAAGCCUUGAUGGCCGUAUAUGUUAAUGCUAGAGCUAUUUUAUGCUUAAAUUAUAAGAUGCUGAAUGUGAUUGCUAAAUAAAGUUGCAUUUCAGAACAUCAUAGG